rnacentral:pre_miRNA from 1 species
ACGAUACUCCCUCUGUUUAAAAUUACUUGUCGCGGAAAUGGGUGUAUAUAGACGUAUUUUCGUUCUAGAUACAUCCAUUUUUAUCCAUUGCUACGACAAGUAAUUUGGGACAGAUGGAGUAUUUU